GUCUACGGCCACGCCACCCUGAACAAGCCCGAUCCCUCUGAUCUCGGAAGCUAAGCAGGGUCCGGCCUGGUCGGUACUUGGAUGGGAGUCCUAUAGUAUGUGGCUUUUUCUGUCUAGC
rnacentral:rRNA from 1 species